AUCUGCCCACUGAAAUUUUAAAUGGCUGCAGUAUCAAUAACUGUACAAAGGUAGCAUAAUAAUUAGUUUUUUAAUUAAAAACUAGAAUGAAAGAUUAAAUGAAAUAUAAACUUUAUAAAUAAAAUUAAAUUAAAAUUAAAUUUUAAGUUAAAAUUCUUAAAUAUUAUUAAAAGACGAGAAGACCCUUUAGAAUUUUAUAUUAAUUAAAAUUAAAAUUAUAAUUAUUAAUAAUAUAAAUUUUAAUUAAUAUUUAAUUGGGGUAAUUUUUUAAUUUUAUAAACUUUAAAAUAAUCAAACAUAAAUUAAUGAAUUUAUAAACCUAAAA
rnacentral:rRNA from 1 species